UACGUAGGGGGCAAGCGUUGUCCGCAAUCAUUGGGCGUAAAGAGCGCGUAGGCGGCCCUGUAAGUCCGCUGUGAAAGUCAAGGGCUCAACCCUUGAAUGCCGGUGGAUACUGCAGGGCUAGAGUCCAGAAGAGGCGAGUGGAAUUCCUGGUGUAGCGGUGAAAUGCGCAGAUAUCAGGAAGAACACCAACGGCGAAGGCAGCUCGCUAGGACGGUACUGACGCUGAGACGCGAAAGCGUGGGGAGCGAACAGG
rnacentral:rRNA from 1 species